AUUGAACGCUGGCGGCGUGCUUAACACAUGCAAGUCGAUCGGAACGCGGGGGCAACCCUGGCGACGAGAGGCGGACGGGUGAGGAACGCUUGGGAAUCUGCCUAUCAGCGGGGGACAACCCGGGGAAACUCGGGCUAAUACCGCAUACGCUCUACGGAGGAAAGCCGGGGACCGCAAGGCCUGGCACUGAUAGAUGAGCCCAAGUCGGAUUAGCUAGUUGGCAGGGUAACGGCCCACCAAGGCGACGAUCCGUAGCUGGUCUGAGAGGACGAUCAGCCACACUGGGACUGAGACACGGCCCAGACUCCUACGGGAGGCAGCAGUGGGGAAUAUUGGACAAUGGGGGAAACCCUGAUCCAGCGACGCCGCGUGGGUGAAGAAGGCCUGCGGGUUGUAAAGCCCUUUCGGUAGGGACGAAAGCUCUCGACCUAACACGUCGGGAGGUUGACUUAACCUACAAAAGAAGCACCGGCUAACUCUGUGCCAGCCGCCGCAGUAACAC
rnacentral:rRNA from 1 species